rnacentral:sRNA from 1 species
AUCCCACACUCAGAGAAGAAGAAGAAGAAAAAAAACAGAGCUUUA